UUUACUAGAAAUAGAUCCUUCGUUUUCCUUCAACAAUUGAUCUUUCAAUUCUUGUUUUCUUUUCUGACGUUCUUCUUUAGGAACAUCAAUAAGUAUUUCGGCAUUCGAAUCUUGAUUAUCUGGCUCAGGAUUGGCAUGCACCUCAGAUGAAGAUUCUUGCUCCCUCACAGAACGAUGUAAACGCGCCCGCUUCAAAUUGAGCAUUUUUUGGAUGCCACUUUGGCGUCCCUUUUCAUUGAAUCUUUUACGCAGUCUCCCCAUCGUGAAGAAACAAGAAGAUUCGUUCAAAAACCAAGUGUUUCGUCCACAGCAGCUUUUCAACGCUAAAUUCUUCAAUUUAUUUAGUACUUACAAUGUAUAAAAGAACACGAAAUGUGAAUCUAACGAAUCAUGCUCUAGUACGUUAAUUACCUUUAGCAGUUGGCGAUUUAAAAGUGUUGUUAAUAAUUAAUUUACUAAAUAAAUGUUGCUCAAAAUUUUGCUAUAAACGUGUAUAAAUUAUAAACAGUCGACUAAGUUAGAAUUGUAUGGCAAAUGAUUGAAACCCUUUUAAAACCGUCAAUGAAUGUUACGAGUGUCUUUAUUGAAAGUUUAAAGCUCAAGUUUGCACAUAAUUACGCAAGGACAGGCAUACGUGCGUGAAGAAAGAAGCUCAUUUUUCGUUUAAACAAUAAUAAUAGAUUUAUAGCCUAUAUACUAGUAUCAUAAGUGAGCAAAUUUUACAUCAAAUUUAUUUAAAAAGCGAAGACGAAGAAAAGUCAUUAGUUUAAUAGAAUAGCUAAAAUAUACAUUCAUAAAAGAAAACAAGCACUAAACAAUAAUCAAAACUGAGUCUAAAUCAUGAAGCGAUAAGGAAAGAAAACAGGUGCGAGACAAGACCAUACUGAAAUAUUGUUGUUAGCAAAGGACAUUUACAAAGAAUAAAUACUUACCAUAAAGGCCAUGGCACACCCAUGAAGUAAUAAUUUUAACCCAAACCGCAGCAUAGGAAAAACCAAUUCUUACGAAAACGUCGUUCUUUUGAUUUUCAUACACACUGGUGGUGUUCCAAUUUGUCAGUAAUGAAGCAGUGUAAAAGGCGGCUAGCACGAAGACAAUGUGAAACCAUAUAAAAUUGUAGUCAGAUUGAUGUUUAUCUUCUUCAGAAGAACCAUCCUCCAGAGGGGUUGAUACACCCAUAUCAUGAGAAUCAGCAUACAAAUAUGAGUAGCUGUCAUCAGACUCGCGACUGGAAGCAGCUCUUACGGCACUAUAUAGAAUAGUGAAAAAUGUGAAUGCUGCUCCGAUGACUUUACUAAAUUCGCGUGUGCCAGAGGCUGAAUUUCCCCAGGGAUUGCAUUGUCCUUCAUCAGGACGAUUUGCCAAAGCUGAAAGGAUUAGAUAACAAGUAUAACACAUAACCAUAGAAGAUUGUGCAAGUCCAGAGCGAGGAUUGUAUUCCUGAAUAGUAGGAUGUACAGAUAAGCAGCUGACAGCUAUGCAUAAUAAAAGAUUGAUGGUGUUAAUAGCCUGAUUGAAGGAGCAAGAGGAAGCACAAAAGAAAACAUAGGUAAGGAUGGUUAAGACAAGACCAACGACGUACAUGCCAACUGUUGAGCCAAUAAGAUAAAACUUUGAAGAAGAAGAGUCACUCGUCAAUACACGAUCCACGCAUCGCUCUGCCCAGGUGUGUGCAAAGUCCACCAACAGCAUUAGUCCGUACACGAUAAACAAAGCAGACCCCAUGACCGAAAUAAUAUUACCCCAGAAGGAAAGGAAUUUCGUCGGGAUGAAAAAAGAAAAAAUACCCAAAACAAACCACAGGACAAUCUUAAAUGGCCAAAGGCCAUUUUGAAUCUUAAUAGCGACCCGUGAGCGAGUAUUACAAAGACUGAGAAUAAAUGCUAGGAAGAGGUGAAACAUCACCAGAGUAAAUGAUAAACGAUGCACAGCAAUUACACUAUAGCAUUUCCCGUCAUUUUGGCAAUCGAAUUGUAAAUAGCCAGCUGACAAUUUGGAAAGCUUGCUGUUGAACCAGGAUGAUAGCAUGCACCAUGAAAGCAACGAAUUUACAAAGUACAAAACGGCAUAACUAAUCACCGCUCCAACAUUGCUUUGUAUGGAAUUAGUCAAACUAAGGACAGAAGUAACAAGAAAACUGCUAGCAAUACCUACUACUCCCGAAAGAGAAGAGGCAAGAGCUAAAGGUAUAGAUAAAACCGCACCCAUAUCUCAAUUGCGUUUAGGAUAUAUCUUUAUAUAUAAAGCGGAAUACAGUUGAUCAAAGAAAAAUAUUCAGGUAAAGAAAUU
rnacentral:lncRNA from 1 species